AGGAAGGAACAAGCCCCGCCUUCCCCUGCUCUGUACCCUCACGUGCUCAGACACAGAGAGAGACGGAGGUGCACGAGACCAUCGCUGAUUUUCACCGCCAAGCUUGUUGCUGGAAAAUAACUAUUAACUUGAUAAAUUGAGCAAAUAUCCAUACCGGAGAUCUGCAUGGACCUUGGAGAAACGGACCUGAUUUGUUGUGAACAUUUUGGACUUUGAAACCAUCGCGGCUAGGUUUUUUGGGGGGAUCGUGAGACCUGGAUUUCUUCCUGACGAGGAAGAUGGCGAGCCUUUCCCUUUGAACCGAACCACAGCCAUUCCGAGUUGGCCCAGAAGGGCAGGUUGCUCUUCUUUCACGAACAAUUGCAACAGUGCGGGGUCAUCUGCCUCAGUCUCACCUCAUCUGAAGCAUCUUCUGUCAGGCCAGUGGUCAGCAUGUCCUUCUUCACUACAUCCAUGAAUCUCCUUUGUGGUUUUCCUUUUUUCUUUCUGCCUGACAGCUUUAUCUUCAACAUCAUUUGCCCAGUAUAUCCACUAUCCCUCCAUAGCACAUGUCCAAGACAUCUCAAACUUGCCUCUCCAACUUUGUCUCUCUUUUAAAUCGUGUGCAAAGCCUUAUUUGUCCCUAAAUGUCAGAAACCGAUCAACAUGGUUAAAAUCAGCUCUAUCCAUUUGCAUUUUAGUUAUAACACUUUGAAGAAUUACAUUUUGGGUUUUUAUCUUUCUGACAUAAAGAACGCUGCAGGAAAUCACUGUUCUGUAUAAAACUGAACAAUAACUCUUCAUUCUGUGGCACAUCAACAUACCUAUCAGGCAUUUUUCUGUAUUAUACCUUCUUGCAGCUCUUUCUCAGAUUUAUACCAUACUUAUUAUUUAUCAAUGAAAUUUGAACUACUCUCUUGGAUAAUCUCAGUCUUACUUUUUACUCUUUAUUACCUUACCUAAUUUGUAUUUUUUAUUUUUGUCAUUUUUUGUCACUGUUGUAUAUGUAAAGUGAUCUAUUUCUCUAUGAAUCUAUAAAACAGAAGCAGAAAAAUAGUUUGACAGCAGCGUGCUUUACUUUUCAAUAAUUUCGUUAACACCUUAAACAUGUUGCCAUUUGAAAUGCACAUUUGCUACACGUAUUAUACCAAGAUUUGUACUCAUAUUCCCUAUAUGUUUUAUAUUUUGAAUGAGUAUAUAAAACAGAAAAAAACUAAAGCGGUUCAGAGGAAAUAUGUGACAAAGAUAUAUGAAAAAGCAGUUUUAACCCACUAGAACUGCCCUGGAUUCCAUACCGUACAUGUGUAUUUAUGUUUAGAUGGAGGUUUUAGCCUCUCUUUUUUCUUUUACUUCAAUAAAUAAAAAGGUUACAGAUAACAGACAGUUUGUUCUGGUCACUGAACACCAGAGCUCUUAUAAAGAGAGCUCAGCGGCUCGUGCAAUUUUUGAGAGGAGCUCACCUUCCCUCUCCCACCCUCAGCACUAUAUCAGCACUAUAGACAGUUUAUUGACCACAUGCAUGUGUGGUCAGGAGCCUGUAGAGAGUAGUAAGGUCAGUGGAGAAGAUCACUGGGCCCCACUUCUCCACAUCUAAGAUUUUGCACAAAAACGCUGCCUAACCAGCUCAAACAAAUUCCUGGAUGUUUCAAAUAUUCAAUAUGGAGAUUCUCAGGGAUUUCCCGACAUUCACAGGAUAAUGUUGGACUGUACAUUUCUCUGCAUGUCGAUAAUCAGUUCAUAAGAAUUCAUUCUGUUUCUGGUUUUGCAUUUCUGUGUGACUGUGAAUGUGUUGCUUUGCUUGGAAAAGUAACCAUGGUUCAUUCAUGCAGCAACAACACUGCACUGCUGCACAAUAGGGUAAAUCCAGGCAACACAACAGACAAUCUUAUAUUUGUAAGGUAAACAUCAGUAAACUUGGUGUUUAAUCAGGCUCUAUAUAUUGAGCAUUUUUUCCAUAAUACUCAAGAUAUAAUUAACAAAUCCAACUGAUUUCUAACUUUUUAUCAGAUUUAAGUCUUACCUGCAGAUUAGAGGGAUUUAAAGCUGGAUAAAAGAUCUUAAUUAAUAGAAAAAAUGUAUGGGCUGUUGAAAGCUUGACCCUCCUCCUCACAGCCUUCAACAUGGCUGAUAAGAGCAUUUGGAGGUGAAACUGGAAAAUCAUUUCAUUAUUGGAUAGCAAGGUUGUAAGGUAGCUCUGCCGUGAUAACCGAUACAAAUCAGGGCAAACACUGACUCCUCUCUGUGGAAGCAGACACAGAGGAGAGGCUGGAAACGUUUUUGGGGAGAGAAGGCGAUGAGUGUGUGGAUAAUCCUUUAAAAGUACAUGUCGUCUGCAGGCAGCCAUGUUUAAAAAGUUGUCCUCGUCUGCUGUUAUUUCUGUCACAGAUUAGCUCUGUUUCUCUGGGGACUGUUAUUUUUCCAUUAGAGAUUAGACCAGUGUUAUCUCCUAUUAAGGAGAGGUUGGAAGAGUCAAGGUGUUCUUAAACUGAAGCUGGGGAACUGUAGAGCAAUCUGAUAAAUAUUCUCUGCAGACCGGGAGAGCUAAUGCUCCAUUUAAACUCUGUCUCUUGACUUGUCAUUGCCUUCUACCUUCCUCUGUCUGAGUUCUUUCCUUCAUCUUCCACCCUCAUCAGUCUGUUUUACUGUUAGACUCAAUCACAGACUGGUGAGUCACUGUGACCAUGGAGGAAAACUUGGUUUAAAAACAAUCAGCAGCGCACUGUAGCCCGACAUUUGCAUGAUAAUCCAACCGCAUCUCAACGAUGACACAUGAUGCUGCCUAAAAUCAAUGUUAUGUCUACAUGUGAACCAGCUUCUCGUUGCCCCUGUUAUAUUUGUUGGUUUUGUUGCUUGUCUUUGUGUUUCUAGUUUAUUGAGAGCUUGAAAAAAAAGCUCUCAAGGCUACCAAACCUACACAGACAUUUUCUGGUUUCAGCUUUUCAUUUUUAGUGCUAGCCUGUUGUGUGUUUACCGUGUCUUCUUUACUUCCUAAUUUUUGUUUCUUUAACUCCAUUAUGAUUACAUCAUCUCUAUUGUCUUUUAGCUGCCUGGUUUCAUUAUUAAUCACCAUCAUGUAUAGUCCCGUUUUUAACGCUCGCUCUCAUCCUUUACCUUUAGUUAUGUAACCUGUCUCUGCGCCCUGCACUUCCUGGCUCAUGUAUCCUGGAGCCUUUAGCAGGUGUAAUUAACCUGAACACAGUGCUGUCAGAUGUUUAUCCAGUCAAGUCAUUAGACAUUAUAUACCUUGUCAUAUAUUUGAAAAAUAAUGCUUGUGUUGUUUUUGUUACUUUGUUGUUGCAAUAAAUAAGAAAAUAUGUAUUUCCCCUGUCUCUUCAUGAUGUAAUUU